GAUGAACGCUGACAGAAUGCUUAACACAUGCAAGUCGAUGGGGAAGUGGUGCUUGCACCAUGGUAACCAUGGCGGACGGGUGAGUAACGCGUAAGGAACUUACCUGCUGGACCGGGAUAACAGCAGGAAACUGCUGACAAGACCGGAUAAGGUCAUUAAGCUGCAUAGCUUAGUGAUGAAAGGAGACGCCUGCGGAGAGCCUUGCGUCCUAUUAGCUAGUUGGAGGGGUAACGGCCCACCAAGGCGAAGAUAGGUAGCCGGCCUGAGAGGGUGGACGGCCAAGAGGGGACUGAGAUACGGCCCUUACUCCUACGGGAGGCAGCAGUGGGGAAUAUUGGACAAUGGGGGCAACCCUGAUCCAGCAAUUCUGUGUGCACGAAGACGGUUUUCGGAAUGUAAAGUGCUUUCAGCAGGGAAGAAGGAAGUGACGGUACCUGCAGAAGAAGCGACGGCUAAAUACGUG
rnacentral:rRNA from 1 species